rnacentral:rRNA from 1 species
CAAUAGCGUAUAUUUAAGUUGUUGCAGUUAAAAAGCUCGUAGUUGGAUUUCGGAUGGGACUUGCCGGUCCGUCGUUUCGAUGUGCACUGGCCAGUCCUAUCUUGUUGUCGGGGACUAGCUCCUGGGCUUCACUGUCCGGGACUAGGAGCUGACGAGGUUACUUUGAGUAAAUUAGAGUGUUCGAAGCAAGCCUACGCUCUGAAUACAUUAGCAUGGAAUAACACGAUAGGACUCUGGCUUAUCUUGUUGGUCUGUGAGACCAGAGUAAUGAUUAAGAGGGACAGUCGGGGGCAUUCGUAUUUCAUUGUCAGAGGUGAAAUUCUUGGAUUUAUGAAAGACGAACUUCUGCGAAAGCAUUUGUCAAGGAUGUUUUCAUUA